rnacentral:lncRNA from 1 species
AGGGAGUGCGACCUCGCUGCUGAGUUAGCCUGGCUCUUGAGCCGGGCUGAUAGAAACUCCCCCAAUCCCCACUUGUUUCUGUGUUUAGGGUUUGGCAAACUGGUGUUUUCACUCUCAGGGGCUAGCUCCAUUUGUCUGGCCACUUUUCUGACUACAGUGCUGGGUACUGCACCUUUACAACAAGGCUGUGAGGGCUGAGCACUCAGAGGCAGAGGCUGGGGGAUCCCUGAGUUCAAGGCUACCCAGGGCUACGCAUUCCAACUCAUCUUCAGCUCUACUGAAAGCUGACAGCUCAGUCUUGAAAACCCAAAGCUCUGCUCCUGCUAUCAGGAGGAUUCCUGCAUCCAUUUAUUGUAUCCUCCAUUCCAGACUGGACUCCUAAACCAUGCCACGCCCUAUCUGGGCACCAGGGCUAACAAGAUGCAGAACUCUCCGCUCUCUCCAGCACCAUGUCUGCUUGCACGCUGCCAUGCUUCUCCCCAUGGUGAUAAUGGACUGAACCUCUGAAACUGGCCCAAGAGGACAUUCAGUCCCAAGACGUGUUCAUGGGCAAAGCUUGCCAAUGUUGCAAGAAGCGGCUGCUGUAAGCAGGCAGGCUGCAGACCUUUGCACACGGCACUGCCUCUCAUAGGCAGGCAACUUAAGUGCUCACUGCCUAUGGGAAGCUGUGCUGUGCUGUCUGGAGCUGGCUGAGGCAAGGCACGUGAGCUUGAGUGGAGCACGUGCAGGGCCACUGUCAUUAUGGAAAUCCUGACUCUGAAGGCUAAUUCUGCGUCUAAAUGAGUUGAAAUGAAAUGCAAAGAACACAUCCAUCACUCCAGUUCACCCUUGUUCAGCCUCGCAUCUCAUUACUGUGCUACUCUGCCUAUGUAUUAUGAAUUAAUAUAUUUAAUAAAUUCUGUAAUUAUCUUGUGAACAGU